CUAAAUGGGAAUUUCUUUCUCAACACAUUUGCUCCACGUGUAUAUUCAGUCAUAUCUGCUGAGUUUUUUAUGAGAACAUUAGUGACAAAAGUAAGUUUUUACUAUUUCUGAGAGUACUGCAGAACUAAACAACAGUUAUGAGUGAGAGGUGGGUACUAUCUGGCUCAGAGUUUCAUUAGCUGUUAAAUACAUUCCAGUUUAGGGCCAAAUUCUGCCCACAGAAACCCCUCUGAAGGCAAUGCACUCUCUUAUAUAAGUAAUACUUUAUAUUAAGAUGCAAUUCUACCAUGCAAAAUGACUUAAAAUGGUAUGUUUGUUGUGUCUUAACUCGAGAUCAAAUUUGCUUUGAUUGCAAGUAAAAGAGAUAUCUGCUAACUGAUUAGACACUGUGGUGAUGACUGCUAUACAAAAAUCCUUAGAUAAGCAUCUAAUUCAGAAGAAAAGCAUGUUUUACUUGAAAAUGUAGUAAAUUUAAUUUGGUGCAACUGGAGCAAUAGGAAAUCAAUCUCAUUAAAGUCAUUUUCACAAUAAAACUGAACUGUAAUAGUUACAUGUUUAUAUAAGAUAAAUAAUACAUUUUCAUGCAACAUUUUCCCUAAAAACUGGUUCAAAACAUCCUUCCCUUGAUUAUAGAUGUCUCCUGUAUGUAGAACUGACUGAAAUAUUGUAAACACUUUUGUUUAAAAAAAUGGCCUUUUGAAAAAAAGCUUAAUGAAGAAAUGUUGACAUUGUUAAAUAUUUUGUGAAUAACUGGUGUGCUUUAAUUUUUUUAAACUAAUACAUCAAAAUUUUUGAUUUAAAGGGACCUGGGUUUUCAGAAAACAAGAAUGUUCAAUAUGUUUUAGAAAAAAGUUGUUGAAAAAAAUCACAUUAGAAAAAAGUCUUUCACUGAAUCAAAAACAAAUUUGAUUAAAAAUCCAUUUCAAUUUUUCCCCAUCAAUAUACCUCUAUGAUAUAGAGUAAUCUACGAUUUGCUUGUAUUUGUUUGUCCAGAUAUACUACAAGCACUGAGAUCUUUUAAAUUAAAUACUAAAUAAUUUUUAUGUAAGCAUUUUGAUCUGUCACUUAGGUGACUAAUUACUAGUUGUGUUUAGAUUCUUAAGGCAUAUAUGCUAUUACUGUAUAUCUGAUGUAUUUAUAUAUAGGUAUUUCUUAAAAGUGGACUUUUGACCUAAUUAGCUGUACUUGUUCUAUCAUGUAGACUUAUUAGGUAUUCUUGGAGCUGCGAGGACUAUGGGAGAAGGCAUUGUACGCAUACCUCUUAAGUCUACCAGAGCAUAAUUGUGGGAUGUGAUGUAUGCCUAAGUCCCCAACCAAGGUCAGGGACAAAAAACAAAGAAACAAAAAACCAUCCAGGAAGCUUAAAAUGAUGUUGAAUACAUUAAAAGAGUAUACAUGACUUUA